CUUCACCGAGCCCAGCCACAGCGGUUCCGCGCGGUCCUGGCCGUAGGUGGCCAUGAGCGCCUGGGCCUC
rfam:Streptomyces sp. SirexAA-E, complete genome.